CCCCACGAUCUUCGGCAUGUCGAGCCAAGAACUCUGCGCUCUGCUGGCAAGGCUCCCUGUGGACUGGGACGACACGGACGACGACGAGAGCACUGGAGACGAGAGUUGGGCUCCGCCCAUCGCGCCAGUCUGCGAUCGUCGCAAGGUCCGUGGGGACCCACGUCACUUCCAGGGGGGUGAGAAGCGGCAACAACAACGGCGGCGUUCCUCCAGCGAGGAGGUGGGCAGCCUCCAGCCCGAAUGGCCAGAGUACUGCCCAUGGGAGCUUAUCGCGCCAUGGGUCCAGGAUGUCCGCAGGGUGGACGACCCUUGGAGUCACCGGUGGGAGGACACGGAUGACGAAAGCGAUGAUGACGUGGAUUUUCGGUGGGCGGUCGGUGCCGGGAUGGCUCCGCCCAGCGUGCGCGUCCGAGAUCAUCGCGGCGUCCGUGAUGACCCAUGUGACUUCCGGGGGUACGAGGUGGACACGGACGACGACCAGGAUGACGCCGUUUGGGCAGUCGGUGCCGGGAUGGCUCCGCCCAUCGCGCCCAUCCAGGAGCGUCACGAGGUCCGUGGAGACCCACGUCCCUCCCAGCAGUGUGAGGAAAGCUGGUGGAAGAGGGCGACGGGAGGUCGCCAGCCAGCAACUGCGCUGCCGGGACUGCCUCGCAGGGAAUCCUCCAUUCCUGCUCCAGUCGCCGACCCGCAUUCCCUCUGCCCGGACGUUCCCCAGCAAAAUGGCAGCGCAGCACCAGCGUCCACACCUGCUGGAGAAGACGUCCACCCCCCUCCACACCACACACCUACCACCAUCUCCAGCGACGUGCCCAGCCCCGUGUGGGACCGCCCAAUUGUCCCGGGACCCUUCAGUGGGGCAGCAGACACAGACGAGAUCACUACCAUCCUCACGUGUCUGACUGGAUCAGCAUGGGGCUGGAGCACAACCCUCUGGCAGCAGGGAGAGACAGACAGGAGUUUUCGGGACUUCCAACAGAGACUGAGGGCGGAGUUUGAUCGGCCUGAGCCAGGGAUCGAACUCUGCCCCUCCACCACAUCCAGUGCCAGUCAGGAUCCGGGGCAAGAAGACCCAGCACUGGUGGGCGACGAGAAGGUCGCUCCUCCCGAGAUCCUGGCUGUGCCCCCUGAGGAGGUCCCAGAGAGCCCAGAGAGGGAGCCAGACGACCCUCUCUUCUGUCUGUCUCUGUCUGUGUGUGUCUGUGUGGCAUAUGUGUCCGUAUGUCGCCCCCAGUUCCCCUCUUUGUGUCCACCAGAUGGCGACCCAGCCGCGGAGCCGAACCCCAGGGAGGAGGUUCCUGACCCGAAUGUGCUGGUCCAAGGCGAGGUGGACAAGCCCCAAGGUACCCCUAAGUCCAGCCGGGGGGGGUGCUCCCCC
rnacentral:lncRNA from 1 species